rnacentral:rRNA from 1 species
GAUGAACGCUGGCGGCGUGCCUAAUACAUGCAAGUCGAACGCUGGAGCUCUAGCUUGCUAGAUCGAAGGAGUGGCGAACGGGUGAGUAAUACAUAAGCAACCUACCCACGAAGACUGGGAUAAUCUCUGGAAACGGGGACUAAUACUGGAUAGGUAAUCGGAAGGCAUCUUCUGGUUAUUAAAGGUUAAAAACACUGGUGGAUGGGCUUAUGGCGCAUUAGUUAGUUGGUGAGGUAACGGCCCACCAAGACGAUGAUGCGUAGCCGGCCUGAGAGGGUGAACGGCCACAUUGGGACUGAGACACGGCCCAGACUCCUACGGGAGGCAGCAGUAGGGAAGUUUCGGCAAUGGGGGCAACCCUGACCGAGCAACGCCGCGUGAGUGAAGACGGCCUUCGGGUUGUAAAGCUCUGUUGUAAGGGAAGAACGGUAGAUAGAGAAUAUCUAAGUGACGGUACCUUACCAGAAAGCCACGGCUAACUACGUG